UAACCCAUAGAUUUUGAAAAAAAUUCAAAAAAAUAAAAAUUCUAUUUUAAUGCAUAGUUUCAUCCUUCACUAACAUAUGAUGUAGGUCAAAGAGGUAUGGAACCUUUGUAGUCUCGGUUUUUCUAGAAAAUAAUGAUUUUAUAGUGGUUAGUCAACCAAUUUAGGGAGUAUUAUGAAGUUUUACUAAAUUGAUUGACAAAAAAUUUAAACGAUGCACAUAUACUGUGAAAGAGAGUUUAAUAUACAUUAAUACAAAUGUAAAAUGUGUUUU